rnacentral:rRNA from 1 species
UACGGAGGGUGCAAGCGUUGUCCGGAUUUAUUGGGUUUAAAGGGUGCGUAGGCGGGUUAUUAAGUCAGUGGUGAAAGUCUGCGGCUCAACCGCAGGAGUGCCAUUGAUACUGGUAGUCUUGAGUACAGUAGAGGUAGGCGGAAUUUAUGGUGUAGCGGUGAAAUGCAUAGAUACCAUAAAGAACACCGAUAGCGUAGGCAGCUUACUAUGUUGUAACUGACGCUGAGGCACGAAAGCGUGGGGAUCGAACAGG